rnacentral:misc_RNA from 1 species
GCGUUAUCUUUCCAAUUUCUUAUAAAUUUCUUCAGUCAAAUCACCAAUAUUACUACUGCCCAUUUCCCAUUCAUUCCUCCCAGAUCGGACGGUCUAAUUUUCAAUGGCAACCAACAUCAACACAACCAGAUCCGGAUCGGCCACACCCACCGUCAAUGGCGACGCCGAAGCUCCACCAAAACCCAGAAUAGCUCUGAUCACCGGAAUAACCGGCCAAGACGGCUCCUACUUGACAGAACUUCUCCUCAACAAGGGGUAUGAGGUUCAUGGUCUGAUCCGUCGGUCCUCUAACUUCAACACCCAGCGUAUCAAUCACAUCUACAUAGAUCCUCACAAC